rnacentral:rRNA from 1 species
GAUGAACGCUGACAGAAUGCUUAACACAUGCAAGUCAACUGUGGCGGACGGGUGCGUAACGCGUACAGAACUUGCCUCACAGUUGAGGUCAACGUUUGGAAACGAAUGCUAAUACCUGAUACUGUGAGAGUGCUUUGCGUCCCAUUAGCUAGUUGGAGAGGUAACGGCUCACCAAGGCGAUGAUGGGUAGCCGGCCUGAGAGGGUGAUCGGCCACAAGGGGACGGAGACACGGCCCUUACGCCAACGGGAGGCAGCAGUGGGGAAGAGUGGACAAUGGACCAAAGUCUGAUCCAGGAAUUCUGUGUGCACGAUGAAGUUUUCGGAAUGUAAAGUGCUUUCAGUUGGGAAGCGGUACCAACAGAAGAAGUGACGGCUAAAUACGUGCCAGCAGCCGCGGUAAUAC